GACGAACGCUGGCGGCGUGCUUAACACAUGCAAGUCGAACGGAAAGGCCCUGCUUGCAGGGUGCUCGAGUGGCGAACGGGUGAGUAACACGUGGGUGAUCUGCCCCUUACUUUGGGAUAAGCCUGGGAAACUGGGUCUAAUACUGGAUAGGACCAUGCUGUAGGUGGUGUGGUGGAAAGAUUAGUUUCGGUAAGGGAUGAGCUCGCGGCCUAUCAGCUGGUUGGUGGGGUAAUGGCCUACCAAGGCGUCGACGGGUAGCCGGCCGGAGAGGGUGGACGGCCACAUUGGGACUGCGAUACGGCCCAGACUCCUACGGGAGGCAGCAGUGGGGAAUAUUGUACAAUGGGCGCAAGCCUGAUGCAGCGACGCCGCGGGGGGGAUGACGGCCUUCGGGUUGUAAACUCCUUUCAGCCAUGACGAAGCCCUUGUGGUGACGGUAGUGGUAGAAGAAGCACCGGCUAACUACGUG
rnacentral:rRNA from 1 species